rnacentral:rRNA from 1 species
AUUGAACGCUGGCGGCAGGCCUAACACAUGCAAGUCGAACGAGUGGCGGACGGGUGAGUAAUGUCUGGGAAACUGCCUGAUGGAGGGGGAUAACUACUGGAAACGGUAGCUAAUACCGCAUACCAUCAGAUGUGCCCAGAUGGGAUUAGCUAGUUGGUUGGGUAACGGCUCACCAAGGCGACGAUCCCUAGCUGGUCUGAGAGGAUGACCCGCUACACUAGAAUGUAGACACGGUCCAGACGCCUACGGGAGUAAGCAGGGGGGAACAUUGGACAAUGGGCGAAAGCCUGAUGCAGCCAUGCCGCGGGUAUGAAGAAGGCCUUCGGGUUGUAAAGUACUUUCAGCGGGGAGGCGUUACCCGCAGAAGAAGCACCGGCAAACUCCGUGCCAGCAGCCGCGGUAAUAC